rfam:Aedes albopictus isolate Foshan contig130862, whole genome shotgun sequence.
UGCCCAGCAACUCCUAUCCCUACCUCCACGCGGUACCGGCCGGAAACUAUGAGCAACCUUAGGGAAGAUCGGGUAACCAACCCCGGUGGGAACUUUGGUCGCAGGCUGACAGGGAAGG